rnacentral:rRNA from 1 species
GAUCCUGGCUCAGGAUGAACGCUAGCGACAGGCCUAACACAUGCAAGUCGAGGGGCAGCACAAGGAGCAAUCUGAGGUGGCGACCGGCGCACGGGUGAGUAACACGUAUGCAACCUGCCUGUAAGCGGGGAAUAACCCGUUGAAAGACGGACUAAUACCGCAUAAUACUAAAUUACUGCAUGGUAAUUUAUUUAAACAUUUAUGGCUUACAGAUGGGCAUGCGCAUGAUUAGCUAGUUGGAGAGGUAACGGCUCCCCAAGGCAACGAUCAUUAGGGGUUCUGAGAGGAAGGUCCCCCACACUGGUACUGAGACACGGACCAGACUCCUACGGGAGGCAGCAGUGAGGAAUAUUGGUCAAUGGACGCAAGUCUGAACCAACGCCACGUCGCGUGAAGGAAGACGGCCCUACGGGUUGUAAACUUCUUUUGUAAGGGAAUAAAGUGGGCCACGUGUGGCUUUUUGCAUGUACCUUACGAAUAAGGAUCGGCUAACUCCGUGCCAGCCGCCGC